AGUGAACGCUGGCGGUAGGCCUAACACAUGCAAGUCGAACGGCAGCACAGUAAGAGCUUGCUCUUACGGGUGGCGAGUGGAGGACGGGUGAGGAAUACAUCGGAAUCUACUUUUUCGUUGGGGAUAACGUAGGGAAACUUACGCUAAUACCGCAUACGACCUACGGGUGAAAGCAGGGAAUCUUCGGACCUUGCGCGAUUGAAUGAGCCGAUGUCGGAUUAGCUAGUUGGCGGGGUAAAGGCCCACCAAGGCGACGAUCCGUAGCUGGUCUGAGAGGAUGAUCAGCCACACUGGAACUGAGACACGGUCCAGACUCCUACGGGAGGCAGCAGUGGGGAAUAUUGGACAAUGGGCGCAAGCCUGAUCCAGCCAUACCGCGUGAGUGAAGAAGGCCUUCGGGUUGUAAAGCCCUUUUGUUGGGAAAGAAAAGCAGCAGGUUAAUACCCCGCUGUUCUGACGGUACCCAAAGAAUAAGCACCGGCUAACUUCGUG
rnacentral:rRNA from 1 species